rnacentral:lncRNA from 1 species
GUGAGUUUGUUGUGUUACAGAAAAAUUUAAUUGGCCUUUGCAAAGUAGUUACUUUAUAUAGUAAUAAAAUAAUUACAAAGUCAUUUUAUUUAGUAGUUCUUCUGAUCCUUUUAUGUAAAAACUGGCAUUUUGGGAAAGUUGGUUUCUUGGCUAUGCGGAGUCAGGUAAGAACAACAUCUGGACCCCCGUGUCUCCUCAUACAGAUGUGCAGGCUGACCACAGUGUCAGCCUUCCUCCCAUUAGUCCUUUUGUGUAGCAGUGAGAGGGAGGGGCCUUCAGAGUGAGGGAACAAGAGAGGGCAAGAUGGAGGGGUGGAGAGAGGGAGGAGCUUUGGGACUGUUGGGGGGAUGAAGGGGUGGGGGUGAGUUAGGUCAGAUGAGGCUCUGUGCAGAAGGUGGGUGUGGAGUGAGCAGAGGGAGGGGGUGGAUUGCUUGCUGUGGAGGGAGCUGAGACACAGCCUGCUCCAGGCUCUCACCCUUAGCAGCCUGAGGAGUUCUAAUCUCUGGGGAUUGAGGUCUUGGUCCUCAACUUGACUACAUCUGGAAUUAACUAAAACCCAAGCAUCGGGGUACACUGUGGGUUUUUUCUUCAAUUAAAAAUCAAGGUGGUAAGACCCACUUUUAAUCUGAUCUUUUAAGGUGGUCAUAUCCACCUUAAAUCUGGGCCACACCUUUUGCUGUCAGCCUCUGUAAAUAGCCUGCCCCCCUGCCAGCUUGCUCCCACUCUCCCUGCCAAGUCCAUUCCUUUGCUGGCCCGAGAGCCUACUUGUUCAGGAUUCUGGUGUGUACUGCAGACCGGCUGAGACACUCAGCCUUGUGGAAUGAACAACUGCAGGAUUCUUGGACUUUCAUUGGUAGACAACCAUUGUUGGACUAACUGGACUGCAGCCCGUAGGUCAUUCUAAUAAGUCCCCUUUCUCUUCAUAUCUAUGCAUUCUCUAGGGAACUGUGGCUAACAUGGGAACCUUGACUCAGGCCAGGAUGGUGGCUGAGCUAUUCUGCAGGAGGGUGAGGAGGAACAGAGGAACAGGGAAAGAGACUAAGCCACUCUCAAGCGUGCAGGCCUGGGCUUCUCUAAGAGAGGAAGUAAGACAUACCCAAACAUCGGUCCUGGCAUGCCUAAUUUCUGGCUCCUGAGAGGCAAGUGUUUGUCUCAUCACUCAGCAUUUUGGUUCUCAAGUUAUACCACAAAAGGUUUCUAAACUCCCCCCCACACACCCACCCCAUUUUCCUUCUUCUUCUCCCCCCUUUUAAAUUUAAAUUAGAAACAAGCUUUUACAUGUCAAUCUCGGUUCCCUCUCCCUCCCACCGGCCCCUGCUGUGCCACCAACCCCCUAUCCCAUCCCAUUUCUGCGCCCCAGGGAGGGCGAGGCCUUCCAUGGGGGAUCUUCAAAGUCUGCCAUAUCAUUUGGAGCAGGGCCUGGGCCCUCCCCGGUGUGUCUAGGCUGAGAGAGUAUCCUGUGGAGUGGGCUCCCAAAGUCCAUUCACGUACUAGGGAUAAAUACUGAUCCACUACCAGAGACCCCAUAGAUAAAUCUGACCUCCAAAUUUACACUCACCCUCAGAGGGUCUGGAACCCCUUUUCCUUCUUUAGAGAUCUGUUUUUCAGACAGUGUUUCUCUGUGCAGCCCUGGCUGUCCGGGAACUCGCUGUUUAGACCAGGCUGGCCUGGAACUCACAGAGAUGCGCCUGCCUCUGCCUCCCGAGUGCUGGGACUAAAGUGUGAUCACUGGGCAAGAUUCGUUUAUUUUUACGUGCGAGUGUUUUGUGUGUGUGUGUACUCUCCGUGUGCAUGCGGUACCCACAGAGGACAGAAGACGGCAUCAGCUCCCCCACAACUGGGGACUCACUGAGCCAUCUCUCCAGUUCACACCUUCUCCUGUUGAAGGGGCUUCUGGAAAUUGGAGAGUCUUUGGAAAUUGCAGGACAGGAGGACAGCAAUCAAGAGGACAUGAGAAACGGAGAGGACCCCUCACAGCCCCCUGUUGGGUUAUGUCUCUUGCUGGAGGGGGCUCGCACUCUAGCAGUACAGAUCUGUUCCUGGUGGGGGAGUCGCACCUCGUUGGAGUCCCACACUCACUCUUCAGAUGGCAUCUGCUCUUCUUCAAAGAAUCCCUGCAUACUAGUGGCUUUUUGGGAAGUUUUCUAUCCGUGCAACCUGGGAAUAGAACUGAGUAUACAGCAAAAGUGUGUGAUUCAGCUCUGCCCAGCACCCACUUUUUUGACCAUAAUAUGAAACAGUCCAAUCUUCACAACAGCCAGUAAUUUGGUUCCCUAAAUCAAGAAAAAGGAUUAUCUAGGCUGCCAAAGUAAACUGUGAGGACUCUUGCUGGGGAGCUCUCGGUAUGGACAGAGACACAAUGACCCCCUGCCUGUCAAACAAAGUCAUUUAGAAGGCAGCAGAAAGGAGGUGUGGAGGUACUCUAUGACGCCAGGCUGAGUUGCAGGCAGCUGGGAGCUGCCUCUUCAUGGGAGCUGAGAACUGACCUCAAGCCUUCUGAAACUGGCUUCCUGUUCAUCCCCUGCCCACAGAGAAGACCACUCUGUCCCACUGAGCUAAGAUCCACAUUCAGCUUGGUGAUGAUGUCAGUCCUCCCUGGGGUGAUACCAGUCCUCCCUGGGUCUAAGGAAAUAAAUUUCCUGCCUUCCCUUACUCUUCUGCAAGUCACUUUAAAACCCCAUUCUCCUAAUGAUAGUGAUCACAAUUAUCAUCACGUCUUGACAGCAUGUUUUGUCAGCCCUAGAGUUUUUCUUUUUUUCUUUACUUUCUUUCUUUCUUUUUUUUUUGGGGGGGGUGUGGGUUUCAAGACAGUGUUUCUCUGUAUUGCUUUGGAGGUUGUCCUGGAACUAGCUCUGUAGACCAGGCUGGCCUCCAACACUCAGAGAUCUGCCUGCCUCUGCCUCCUGAGUGCUGGGAUUAAAGGCAUGUGCCCCCAACGUCCGGCUCUGAGAGUAUUUUUCAUCUUAAGUGAGAACAAUCAGUUUGUCAGAGCACAGCACAGAGCAAGCCGG